UACGAAGGGUGCAAACGUUGCUCGGAAUCAUUGGGCGUAAAGCGCACGUAGGCGGCCUCGCAAGUCUGAUGUGAAAUCCCUCGGCUCAACCGAGGACGUGCAUCGGAAACUGCGGGGCUUGAGUACUGAAGAGGAUCGCGGAAUUCCCGGUGUAGAGGUGAAAUUCGUAGAUAUCGAGGAGGAACACCAGUGGCGAAGGCGGCUUCUGGACGGUAACUGACG
rnacentral:rRNA from 1 species